rnacentral:tRNA from 1 species
GGAUGUGGUUCAAGCGGUAGCGCGCUCGCCUGGCAUGCGUGAGGCACUGGGUUCAAUCCUCAGCACCA